rnacentral:ncRNA from 2 species
CUGCCACGAUCCACUGAGAUUCAGC